rnacentral:rRNA from 1 species
UACGUAGGGUGCGAGCGUUGUCCGGAAUUAUUGGGCGUAAAGAGCUCGUAGGCGGUCUGUCGCGUCGAUCGUGAAAACUUGGGGCUUAACCCUGAGCUUGCGGUCGAUACUGCCGGACUAGAGUUCGGAAGAGGCGAGUGGAAUUCCCGGUGUAGCGGUGAAAUGCGCAGAUAUCGGGAGGAACACCUAUGGCGAAGGCAGCUCGCUGGGACGUUACUGACGCUGAGACGCGAAAGCGUGGGGAGCAAACAGG